rnacentral:rRNA from 1 species
AACGAACGCUGGCGGCAUGCCUAACACAUGCAAGUCGAACGAGACCUUCGGGUCUAGUUGCGCACGGGUGCGUAACGCGUGGGAACCUGCCCUUAGGUUCGGAAUAACUCCCCGACAGGGGUGCUAAUACCGGAUAAUGUCUUCGGACCCAAGAUUUAUCGCCUUUGGAUGGGCCCGCGUUGGAUUAGCUAGUUGGUAGGGUAAAAGCCUACCAAGGCGACGAUCCAUAGCUGGUCUGAGAGGAUGAUCAGCCACACUGGGACUGAGACACGGCCCAGACUCCUACGGGAGGCAGCAGUGGGGAAUAUUGGACAAUGGGCGAAAGCCUGAUCAAGCAAUGCCGCGUGAGUGAUGAAGGCCUUAGGGUUGUAAAGCUCUUUUACCCGGGAUGAUAAUGACAGUACCGGGAGAAUAAGCUCCGGCUAACUCCGU